CGCCCAACUUCGUCGCGCUUAAACUAACAAUUGAUUCAGUAACUGAAUUUAGAACAGUGUAAUCGAAAGCUUCUAACUUGCUUAUAAAUUUGCUUCUGAAUUCAGUCGAUUUUUGGGGGUCGAUUGCUUCCCGCUUCCGUAGGCUUAACCCGCGAUUCCCUAUAAAUGACCCCUGGGUGGUGCUAAACGGGAGUCGAAAACAUAAUCGGUGGUAGGACUAGUCCGACUGGCUGGCGACCGCCCUCCAUAGUUGAGUGAGUUCGCCGCCAAAUAGCCUAGCUGUGUUCCGGCGUGUGGGUUGGAGAGCCAGUUUUAUUCCUUUUCUUUCCUCUUCCUUGUUGGGGGUGAAUCUUGAUGAUACCUGGAACAUGCGGAGCAGACGUGCGUGCGAGCUUGCGGGACGUGAUUGUUUGACGGGGAUCUGUGGAAGUGCACAAACGUGGGAAAAUGCAACAAAGCUGCUGGACCUAACUUCUCGGGAUCCUCCAAAAAGUCCACUGAAAAAAUCUCUGUAAAUGACCACCAUUUUACUGAGAUUAUAUUUCACCCCAAAUAAUCUCAUCUCAUUUCAUAUCAUCUCAUCCCAUUUCAUUUAAUUUCAUCCCAGUUGAUUAAUGACUCAAAUUAAUUAUCUUCUGUUUAUUUCAUUUUACUCCACACUACCAAUCAUUUUUCAUAAAAAUAAGAAUAUAAAUUGAAAUAAGAAUUGUCCUAAAGGACUUAGUUACCAGGUCGUAAAAUCCCUUAAAAAAAAACAAGAUUUCGAUAAGAUUUACAUUUUACAUGCAAUAAAUGCAAUAAUUCAAUUUAACUUUGGUUCGGAGAUGAUCAAUUAUGAUUAUUUUUCUUUUAAUCGAUAUAAUUGUUUUUUGUACCCUUUAAAUUCGUCUUCUGCCGUAUUUGCAUAACAACAAAUCUUGAAAUUAACGCAAAAAAAAUUAAGUCGAUUUAUUGAGAUUUUAAGUUUACUCACUAAAUUGCACUGUUCGUCUCUGGAAAUUAUUUUAGGAAGAUAUCGUCUUAUUUAUAUGUCCUGUAUAUCAUUCGGGACGAGAUUUGACGACAUUUGAAAAAAAUAUCUAAAGGUUAAAAUGUUGCCGCCGGAUUAUCCACGAACUCGCCCGAAAUCUAAAUUGGUUUGUUUAAAAAAAUGUAAAGCACAGUGAAAUGCUGAAUGCACCACCAAUUUACCACAUGAAUAGUUGAAUCUGCUACAGAAGAAGGAAGGUUUAUAUAAUUAGGUACAUUCAAAAAGGAGGAGAUUUGAACCACUUCGAUCAUAGUCAAACACUUGAACUAUGUGGGUUUUUUUGGCAAAAAUUAAAUAUGGAGCUAAAAGAGGUGAAGCUGCAAUGGAGGAUAUGCAAAAUAUGCUCUGAAAUCAUGGACAUUAUAUUUUGAAAUAGGUUGGUGAAGGUUUAUAAUGCAAUGGAGAACGCUUUCAAUAUAUAUAGAUUGUUUUAUUGAUGGUUUAUGCAAAAAACUUAGUGUACCUUAAAUAAUAAGAUAAUGAAGAAAUAUGAAUUAAAAGAAAACUAUAAACUAA